rnacentral:lncRNA from 1 species
AAAAUUUUGGGCACUGAUACAGAACCUGAACAGACUAAGGCAGAGCCUGAAAUGGUAAAAACUAUUAUUACUCAAGGGUCACCAAGAAAUCUGACAGGCACUGCUGCUUCGGAAGAAACAAAGCAUACAGCAACCCUUAUUCUAGAUGUAUCGGAGCCAUUCACGUCUGUCACUGUAACAACUGAUACAGGUGAACUCACCACUAGGUCAAUCCCAGAACAAGCAAAACCUACACAGAUCAAAAGUGAUAACGAGAAUCAGAUGUCUCUCCUUACUUCAGCGCCUAUCACAGAAAUGGAUGCUGAGCAACCUAAGUCUGUACAAAAAAGGCAAGAGUCAAAGAGUUCAAAAGUUUGCACAACUGCAGAGCUUGAGGAAACUAAGAAAGAACCUAAGAAUGGAAAGACUUCUUCAACUGCUCAGGGGAUCACACAGCCAGGCGAACCUGCCAUUUCUGGAGAAAAUAAGCUCUCUCCAACCAAAAGAAAGUCAAAGGGUCCAAAACAUUCCCCAGAAUUUUCUUACAAGGAGAAAACACAGACCAUGGAAAAGCCUGACAGUCAAAUAGCUUUACUAAGAUCCAAGGAGCAAACUGAAACUGCUUCUGUGAAGGUAGAAGCUGAGUUUAUACCAACAAGGAGGAAGUCAAAGAGUCUUGAGGUUUCCACUGUUUCAGAGCCAGUAUCAGUCGUUGAAAGAACUACAGGUGUGGUGAAAGAAUCAGAGAAUUCUUCAACCUCACAGUUGGUUCCAGGGCCAACUGAAACUUCUGUUUUGGAACAAAAAAAGUUUUCCUCAAUUCCACAUGUGUCCACAGAACCAACUGAAACUACAGUUGUGAAAGAAGUUAAGUUUCUUCCAACCAAAAGAAGAUAUAAGGGUCCAAAGCUCUCCCCAGAACAUGCUACAAAGCAGUUGGCAGAGACUAAGCAAGAGCCUGAAAGUCAGAAGCCUAUAUUAAGCUCGGGAGCACAAACUGAAAAUAUUGUUGUGGAAGAAACUAAAGUUAUACCAACCAGGAGGAAAUCAAAGGGUCUAGAGGUUUUAACCAU